rnacentral:rRNA from 1 species
UAGGGAAUCUUCCACAAUGGACGCAAGUCUGAUGGAGCAACGCCGCGUGAGUGAAGAAGGUUUUCGGACCGUAAAGCUCUGUUGUUGGUGAAGAAGGAUAGAGGUAGUAACUGGCCUUUAUUUGACGGUAAUCAACCAGAAAGUCACGGCUAACUACGUGCCAGCAGCCGCGGUAAUACGUAGGUGGCAAGCGUUGUCCGGAUUUAUUGGGCGUAAAGCGAGCGCAGGCGGAAGAAUAAGUCUGAUGUGAAAGCCCUCGGCUUAACCGAGGAAUUGCAUCGGAAACUGUUUUCUUGAGUGCAGAAGAGGAGAGUAGAACUCCAUGUGUAGCGGUGGAAUGCGUAGAUAUAUGGAAGAAUACCAGUGGCGAAGGCGGCUCUCUGGUCUGCAACUGACGCUGAGGCUCGAAAGCAUGGGUAGCGAACAGGAUUAGAUACCCUGGUAGUCCAUGCCGUAAACGAUGAGUGCU